rnacentral:rRNA from 1 species
GUGAACGCUGGCGGUAGGCCUAACACCUGCAAGUCGAACGGCGGCACAGUAAGAGCUUGCUCUUACGGGUGGCGAGUGGCGGACGGGUGAGGAAUACAUCGGAAUCUACUUUUUCGUGGGGGAUAACGUAGGGAAACUUACGCUAAUACCGCAUACGACCUACGGGUGAAAGCAGGGGAUCUUCGGACCUUGCGCGAUUGAAUGAGCCGAUGUCGGAUUAGCUAGUUGGCGGGGUAAAGGCCCACCAAGGCGACGAUCCGUAGCUGGUCUGAGAGGAUGAUCAGCCACACUGGAACUGAGACACGGUCCAGACUCCUACGGGAGGCAGCAGUGGGGAAUAUUGGACAAUGGGCGCAAGCCUGAUCCAGCCAUACCGCGUAGGUGAAGAAGGCCUUCGGGUUGUAAAGCCCUUUUGUUGGGAAAGAAAAGCAGCAGGUUAAUACCCCGCUGUUCUGACGGUACCCAAAGAAUAAGCACCGGCUAACUUCGUG